GCUGAUGUGGCUCAGUAGUUAGAGUAUUGAACUGAAUACUGAAGGGUUAUAGGUUCAAUUCCUGGUCAAAGGCA
rfam:Myotis brandtii contig298666, whole genome shotgun sequence.